GCUAAAGGCUACUUCUUUUAUUGUUUAGUAAUAGCUAUAGCUAGCUACUACUAGCCUACAGGCUAGGCUCCUUCACAAGCUAGGCCUCAACUUCAGUGCGGCCUGGAAUCGAGGCUACUUCUCUCGUCUGCUGGGGUACUGAUGGAUGGCUCUUAAAGGCAGCAGCCUGCAUGGAGGGGGUGUGGUGAUAGUCUAGAGGACAGCACAGUACACACAAUGCACUAGCAUGAUAGUUCUGACAUGACUAUAAUUAUUAUUUAUAAAAGCAAUUAAUGUUAAGGAUAAUGCAAA